rnacentral:lncRNA from 1 species
UCGUUCCGAAAAAUCCAAUUAACAACGAACAGAUAUUUGAUCUUAAAACAAACGACGAGGGUGGCUCUGAUACCAUUGUAAGAAAAUCAUGUGUACGUAGCGGAAGAAAAUAACACAAUUAAAAAUUUUCUUGAAAACCAAAGAUCACCUCGUGUUUUGUUUUAGAUCAUUAAUAAUAGAUCUAAUUGAUCUAAUCAAAUAGGAUCUAUAUUUUUAUUUUACCUCGCGCGGGUCGAGAUCACCGCGAAGUCGACAAUCGUUGAUAAAAAUUGUUCGUCCUCGGUUAGCCGCGCACGCGCCCGGCCUCUACUCGCGUCCACACGAAAUCACGCCCUUGAUCAAAUUAAACGACCGCUUCAAUCCAUGAUCCGAUCACGAAUUAACUCUUGCGUCGACU